AUGAAUUCUUCCCAGCGCAAGCGUUACCGUGACCGGGAUAGAUAUCUGCAAAUGACUCCAUAUCAGAGGGAAGCCUAUUUGCAAAGGAAUCGUGAGUACAAAAGAAUGAGGCGUGAGUGCAGCGCAAGUUGUAGCAAUACACAACCAGCACCCCAGCAGAAAACUACAAGAGCUAAUAAGAACAUAUGCAUGACAGGAAAGGAAGUCGUGGCCAGUUCAAACUAUGAGAAGCAUGAUUCAGUAUUUACUCAACUGGGGUCUUCAUCAAAAGGAAAACAAGUGGCGGAUGUUGGUGGUUCUGGCACAAGUCGUCCAAAAGCUGGAACUCGAUUCACCAUCAGUCCAUCUGGCAUAUAUUAUCAUCAAUAUCCUCGGCUAUAUGGAGGAUUUAUAGGGAUGCAAGGUUUAUAUCACCUCCAGAGGCUAUAUGGAGGAUUUAUUCUUUCAAUCUAA
rnacentral:rRNA from 1 species